UCUGGCAAAGAGAUUUGCAGAGUGUCGGGUGACCGGCAAAGAGAUCUGCAAAGUGUCAGUUGAAGACGACGGGAGGGGUCGCAGAGGUAGCAACGACUGGAGUAUAACAUGCAGGAGAUCAUCAUUUGGCAAAGUUCUGGCAAAGAGAUUUGCAGAGUGUCGGGUGACUGUCAAAGAGAUCUGCAAAGUGUCAGUUGAAGAUGACGGGAGGGGUCGCAGAGGAAUUAGUGACUGGAGAGUAGCAUGCAGGAGUGGGUGAUCCCUGAAUAGCUGCCCUGGGAGGAGAGCUGCGGACACAUGCUCCAAAUGUUGGGACAUACAUUACCUAUUAGGAGAUGCGGUAAAGAUGCUGGCUGUCGGGUUUACGGCAGUCAGAAUACUGACACUGGGAUCCCGACAUUCUUCAGAAUCCCGACGUUGGAACUCCAAAUGGGCAAGGAUACCGACGCCCAUAUCCCCAUGAUCAUAGGUUUAGGACUGGGCAAGGGGGGUUAGGUUUAGGCAUCAGGC